CAGUCGCCGCGGUAAUACGUAGGGUGCGAGCGUUAAUCGGAAUUACUGGGCGUAAAGCGUGCGCAGGCGGUUAUAUAAGACAGAUGUGAAAUCCCCGGGCUCAACCUGGGACCUGCAUUUGUGACUGUAUAGCUAGAGUACGGUAGAGGGGGAUGGAAUUCCGCGUGUAGCAGUGAAAUGCGUAGAUAUGCGGAGGAACACCGAUGGCGAAGGCAAUCCCCUAGACCUGUACUGACGCUCAUGCACGAGAGCGUGGGGAGCAAACAGGAUUAGAUACCCGAGUAGUCCCUGUCUCUUAUAA
rnacentral:rRNA from 1 species